GGGGUAGUUGACGGUGUGUGUACCAGUGCCUCACUUAUCGGCCUCCUCGCCCCCUUUUGUUUCUGCAAUCGGGCAUAGGAGUGUAAAAGUCACUAUAAAGAGGGUUGAUGGGAAGGGGUCAAAAGGCACAAAGGGCAGAUUUAUGAUAAAGCGAGCACAGGGGAGAAACCGGUUUGGAAUGAAGAACUUCAAAAAGCGAUGGUUUCGCCUCACCAACCACGAGUUCACCUAUCACAAAACAAAAGGUGAGGGAACUCUGUGCAGCAUUCCCAUAGAGAACAUUUUGGCUGUAGAGAGGUUGGAGGAGGAAUCAUUCAAAA